rnacentral:rRNA from 1 species
AUGAUUAAAGAAGAAGAUUGUUCUUUUACCAAACAAAUGUAGAUCAAAUCACGUCCUAUGAUAAGAAGAAAUCUUUCCCGGUAUCAAUCCCCUUGCCACUCAUUCUUUGAGAAUCAGAAGGAUCCUUUUCGAGUUUUCAUUUCUUCAUUUGGAAUCUGGGCUCUUUUAUCUUCGACUUGUUUUACUGACUUUAUUAUUUAUUUAUUUUAUUUUGAUUUUUUACUAAAUUUAUUUACUGUCUUGUAG